CCUACGGGUGGCAGCAGUGAGGAAUAUUGGUCAAUGGACGAGAGUCUGAACCAGCCAAGUAGCGUGAAGGAUGACUGCCCUAUGGGUUGUAAACUUCUUUUAUAAAGGAAUAAAACGAGGCACGUGUGCCUUUUUGUAUGUACUUUAUGAAUAAGGAUCGGCUAACUCCGUGCCAGCAGCCGCGGUAAUACGGAGGAUCCGAGCGUUAUCCGGAUUUAUUGGGUUUAAAGGGAGCGUAGAUGGGUUGUUAAGUCAGUUGUGAAAGUUUGCGGAUCAACCGUAAAAUUGCAAUUGAUACUGGCAGUCUUGAGUACAGUUGAGGUAGGCGGAAUUCGUGGUGUAGCGGUGAAAUGCUUAGAUAUCACGAAGAACCCCGAUUGCGAAGGCAGCUUACUAAACUGUGACUGACAUUGAUGCUCGAAAGUGUGGGUAUCAAACAGGAUUAGAUACCCGAGUAGUC
rnacentral:rRNA from 1 species